rnacentral:rRNA from 1 species
AGGGGUGAGUAACACGUGGGCAACCUACCUUAUAGUUUGGGAUAACUCCGGGAAACCGGGGCUAAUACCGAAUAAUCUGUUUCACCUCAUGGUGAAACACUGAAAGACGGUUUCGGCUGUCGCUAUAGGAUGGGCCCGCGGCGCAUUAGCUAGUUGGUGAGGUAACGGCUCACCAAGGCGACGAUGCGUAGCCGACCUGAGAGGGUGAUCGGCCACACUGGGACUGAGACACGGCCCAGACUCCUACGGGAGGCAGCAGUAGGGAAUCUUCCACAAUGGGCGAAAGCCUGAUGGAGCAACGCCGCGUGAGUGAAGAAGGAUUUCGGUUCGUAAAACUCUGUUGUAAGGGAAGAACAAGUACAGUAGUAACUGGCUGUACCUUGACGGUACCUUAUUAGAAAGCCACGGCUAACUACGUGCCAGCAGCCGCGGUAAUACGUAGGUGGCAAGCGUUGUCCGGAAUUAUUGGGCGUAAAGCGCGCGCAGGUGGUUUCUUAAGUCUGAUGUGAAAGCCCACGGCUCAACCGUGGAGGGUCAUUGGAAACUGGGAGACUUGAGUGCAGAAGAGGAUAGUGGAAUUCCAAGUGUAGCGUAGAGGGG